AACGAACGCUGGCGGCAUGCCUAACACAUGCAAGUCGAACGAGACAUUCGGGUCUAGUGGCGCACGGGUGCGUAACGUGUGGGAACCUGCCCUUAGGUUCGGAAUAACUCCCCGAAAGGGGUGCUAAUACCGGAUAAUGUCUUCGGACCAAAGAUUUAUCGCCUUUGGAUGGGCCCGCGUUGGAUUAGCUAGUUGGUAGGGUAAAAGCCUACCAAGGCGACGAUCCAUAGCUGGUCUGAGAGGAUGAUCAGCCACACUGGGACUGAGACACGGCCCAGACUCCUGCGGGAGGCAGCAGGGGGGAAUAUUGGACAAUGGGCGAAAGCCUGAUCCAGCAAUGCCGCGUGAGUGAUGAAGGCCUUAGGGUUGUAAAGCUCUUUUACCCGGGAUGAUAAUGACAGUACCGGGAGAAUAAGCACCGGCUAACUCCGUG
rnacentral:rRNA from 1 species